UUCCUACGGGAGGCAGCAGUGGGGAAUAUUGCACAAUGGGGGGAACCCUGAUGCAGCGACGCCGCGUGGGUGAAGAAGUCAUUCGUGACGUAAAGCCCUAUCAGCAGGGAAGAAAAUGACGGUACCUGACUAAGAAGCCCCGGCUAACUACGUGCCAGCAGCCGCGGUAAUACGUAGGGGGCAAGCGUUAUCCGGAUUUACUGGGUGUAAAGGGAGCGUAGACGGUAUGGCAAGUCUGAUGUGAAAACCCGGGGCUCAACCUCGGGACUGCAUUGGAAACUGUCGGACUAGAGUGUCGGAGAGGC
rnacentral:rRNA from 1 species